AUUGAACGCUAGCGGGAUGCCUUACACAUGCAAGUCGAACGGAGUGGCGAACGGGUGAGUAAUGUAUCUGAACGUGCCCAGUCGCGGGGGAUAACUACGCGAAAGCGUAGCUAAUACCGCCUACUCUUUGAGCGGCCGAUAUCGGAUUAGCUAGGUGGUGGGGUAACGGCUCACCACGGCGACGAUCCGUCGCUGGGUUGAGAGGACGACCAGCCACACUGGGACUGAGACACGGCCCAGACGCCUACGGGAGGCAGCAGUGGGGAAUUUUGCACAAUGGGGGAAACCCUGAUCCAGCCAUCCCGCGUGUGAGAAGAAGGCCUUCGGGUUGUAAAGCACUUUUGGCAGGGAAGCGGUACCUGCAGAAUAAGCACCGGCUAACUACGUGCCAGCAGCCGCGGUAAUUC
rnacentral:rRNA from 1 species